rnacentral:rRNA from 1 species
AACAAACGCUGGCGGCGUGCCUAAUACAUGCAAGUCGAACGAGGAAAACUUUCGGGUGAGUACUAGUGGCGCACGGGUGAGGAAUAUAUGGGUAAUCUGCCCUCAAGUCGGGGAUAACCAGUCGAAAGACUGGCUAAUACCGGAUAAGACCACAGAAUCUUCGGAUUCAGAGGUUAAAGGUUUUUCGCUUGAGGAUGAGCCCAUACGGGAUUAGCUAGUUGGGGAGGUAAUGGCUCACCAAGGCUACGAUCCCUAACUGGUCUUAGAGGAUGAUCAGUCACACUGGGACUGAGACACGGCCCAGACUCCUACGGGAGGCAGCAGUGGGGAAUAUUGGACAAUGGGGGCAACCCUGAUCCAGCCAUGCCGCGUGAGUGAUGAAGGCCUUCGGGUUGUAAAGCUCUUUUGGCGGGGACGAUGAUGACGGUACCCGCAGAAUAAGCCCCGGCUAACUUCGUGCCAGCAGCCGCCGUAA